UUGCAGUGUUGUAUACACUUUUAGAAGAUAUCUGAUGUGGAGAAAGAAAAACAGAAACACUCAAUCAGAACGGGUUUGAUUGACAAUUACUACUAAUGAGAACGCGCUGUAAAUCAUCCUGCAGACAGAAGACAGUGUUGAAUCCUCACAUAACCUGCAAACGGUGACACUCUUUAUAACAAGGUUACACUACUCUGUCCUCAGCGUGAUGGAAAUUCUGGCCCAUAAAUGCAUGCUUUAAAACAAAAAGGAGGGAAAUGAGAUGUCUCAGGAUGGACAAGGCUUGAAGUUUGUUCUCUGUGGUUGCUGCCAGGUUUCUGGGAAUCCAUGGAAAUGGGAGGUGAGGGGCAAAGAAAUGUCUAAAUGAUUGGAGAUGAAUCUUCAGUAGCACGAAUAAAGGCUAAAGGUCCUUGUUUGCUUAUUCUGGCUUAACAACCUACUCACAUAUUAGUACAGUCUUAAGAUUUUCAAGGCUAGUGCUUUAUAAUUUGUUGUAUUAUUCUUUUGUAAUGUAAAAUAACUUUUACAUUUUUUCCUUUAAGAAGUUAGUCUGUGAUAACUGGUGAUAGGUUAAUUCUUGAUUUUGUGUGAGUGAGUCAGAAAUGCACAGGGAUCAAGUAGAUCUUACAUGGUUGCAUUUGAGAAAGGCUAUUCAGAACCAGGGAAGAGUCAUGAUGAAUCAGUGAAAACAGGCCAAG
rnacentral:lncRNA from 1 species